CCAAGAGACCACACUUCCUCCCAGGUUUUCAAGGGUACACCGAUACACGAUAAAUGACACUUUCUAAAAACCACCCGAAAACAAAGGGGCCUCAGCCUGGCUGGUCUACAGAUUUAUCAGAGCUUGGAGAAGCACAGAAGUGGCCGGAGCGUCCACACAUCAGCUCUCCCUGCAGGUGACCAGAGAACCAGGUCGCGGCGGGAAACCGUGGGAGUGAAACGCUUGAUGGCUGAGUUGAGGUUACUUCAUGGAUCCCGCCCAGCCCCCAGGGAGGUGGGCAAAGGACAAGACCAGGCGACCUGCAGAAGAAGAAAGCUGAGUAGCCACAAACCCGUGGCAAGAUGCUCAGUCUCAACCUUAGCAAGGGAGAUGCAAGGUUUUCAAAACUUAAAAGUGAAUGGUGCAUCCACUUCAAUGAAUGGGCAAUGAAUGAAGUCCAGAUGUUAACAUCAUUUCAUCCUGCAGAAUCUCCCCAUCCACCUUCCCAUCCACCCCAGCCUUCCCAUCAGCCUCCUUACCAUCAUCUGUUGGAGUCAUCUGUGGAUGCCCUAUGUGGGUGAGAGGUAGACAUGACUUUUCUCUUCCUGCCCCAGGCUUGCCAUUCAUGAUCCCAUCAUAAACCAAACCUCCCCCAUGAAGUUUUUCCACCUUCUCAAGCCCCAUCCUGAAUUUCCUACAUGACCUGGAGUCUGUGCCAAUUCUUUCUUCCUUCUCCUUCAAAGCAAGUUUUCCCUGAAGGUUCCAUAUCCUCCUCUGACCUCCCUUUGCAAUGUUAUCGCCCCCUUGUCAAGCUCAACUCUGGCCUUGGUCCUCUCCUAAACACAAAUCCUUGCCCUUUGAUUGCAUUUGGGACACUUCUGUUUCAUUUUUCUCGAGAUUCAAGAUCUGCAGCACUCAAUUUGCUUAUAGUAAGCAUGGGUCAGCAGCGAGGGAGGGGCUGACAGAGUCAACACAAGAUGUAACCAAAACUUGUGGGUUUCUCCCCUUGACAGCUCAGUUUAUGUUCUCUGCCAACCAAGGAUUGGCCAAAUGUUUGUCAAGCAUCAGCCCAGCUUCCUGGGAUGCCUUUGUCUUUGUUCUUGAUGUCCGUGUGCAGAAAUAGAUAUAAUUUUAUUUAUCCCACUUGGCACUGUGACCGAUGAUUUGUUCUUUUUUUUUUUUUUAACUUAAGGACUUAGGUUUUUAAUUGUAAAACUUUUUCAGCCAAAAUCUCUUCCCAUGGUCUUUGUUCACACCUCCUUUACUCUCUCAGGAAUCCUAGGAAACAUUUCACAGUGCCAAACCACCUUGCAACAGCUUUUUCAAACUGCCUCUAUGUGUCUCCCUGCAUUGUAUUCUGUGUGACUUCUUCAAUGCUGGCUUCCAGUUCAU
ensembl:lncRNA